GGAGAGAUGGCGGAGCGGCUGAACGCGCCGGUUUCGAAAACCGGUGUGCCUGAAAGGGCACCGGGGGUUCAAAUCCCUCUCUCUCCGCCA
rnacentral:tRNA from 2 species